CCUGUAGUGUAUAUAGGGUUACACAUAGACAAGCCAAAUGCCAAAUUGAGAUUGUAAUUGAUGUGAAUCGAGAGUACAAUUCUGUGAAUAGUGUGACUGAACUUGAAUUCAGAUGGUAUUGGGUGAAUAGUGCGACAGGCUAUUAAAUUCAUGUUGUAUAUUUAUGUGAACUGGGAUUGUUACAAAAUAUUGAAUGUGAAUCAAUUAUAAAUUUGGCAUUGUGUGACCUUAUCAUUUGUGAUUGUCUAUGUCUAUGUGUAACAUUAUAAUUUAGCAUUCUGUAACAAUCCAUUUGGCAGACGUCACCGUCAAGAUGGUCACCGGUGACAACCCUAUGUGUUGUCGUCUCUUCUCCGCUGCUGUUUCUGUCCAAACUAAAAACACUAGUACACCAAGGCAAGGCAAGCAGCAGGGAACUUCCAGCAGCAGACUAGUGCAUUGCGAGGCAAGCAGCAGAGCAGUCGAUGGGGUUGGCUUCGUGGCCUCGCAGCUUGUUUGGAGCUCAACCUGCAAAAGAGCAGGACAACCACACCGAGAGAAUGGUCAUGGCGUCCUUUUCGAGUCAGGUUCUUCAAAGUGCUUCAUGGCCCCGUAUCCUUGCUAGCCGGGCGUCGGCGGGUACCUAUAUACCACUACUACUCCCAAAGGAGGAGAUCCCGGGGAAGCUUCCUGUACAUCAACGGAGAUGAACCACGCACCAAUGCCCAAAACUGGAAAAGGCGCGAUGAACCACGCGUUUAUGCGAGCCAUAAUACUAAAUCAACGGAGACACGCGUUUGUCCGGAAAAUUGGUUUGUGAGCCUGUGCUCAGAUGAUCCCUAUAUCUACUAGUAGAAUGACCGUGCGUUGCCACGGGCAUGAAUAUAUUUUUACCGGUUGCAUAUAUAAAUAUAAUGCAUAUAAAAUUUUGCAUGUAUAACAAUGAAGAAGUAAUUGAAAUCCACUUAACAUCCAAUGUAAGUCGAUAAAAAUCUAACAAAACGAUGUGUUCAUAGAGAACAGCCAUCCAGAUAAUUAUCACUUAAAAAUAAGAUCUACCUGAUGUGUUUAAAUCAUUCAAACGAGUUAACAACUAACUGAAAAUAUAAACUGGACAUACAAAAAGAAGUGCAUUUGGGCAAGGCAUUGCGAUGGAUUCAGCGCAUGGUAUCUUCCGCUUAGCUGUGAGGUCUGGUGGUAGGCUUUAUCUGCUUGCUCUUCGGUGGGCAUUCAUCUCUUGCCUCUAUUCAGUUGGUUUAUUUUUACUAGUUUCCCUUCCGAGGCCCAUGAAGGCAGUGUCUUUCUUCACAUGGAAGAUGAAAAAGUGUCACUCUUUUUUGGUUGAACCAUUUCUUCCUUCAGACCAGUUUGGAUAUCGUCCCUACGAUGAGCCAUUGCCCAAUGAUUGAACAAAACACAUAGUUGAGCAAAGAGAAAAGGGUCUGUCUAGGUCUCAGUCGACUUAGACUUCGCGAAGUCUAAGUCGGCUGACAUCAUCAGUUUUUUUUUCUAGAACACGUCAUCCCUUCGUUGCUUGUUGGUUGUCAAGCGAGCCCAUGUCCUCCUCCUUGUUGCUUUUUGGGCUGGCAAUGUCUUCGUGCGUACUGGAGCAGCGUUGGGCCAGCAGCUGCUGCUCAUCUCGAUGUUGCAACAGUCGGGAUAUUAUCAACUCAAAAAAGAAACAGUCAGGAUAUUAGCUGCUGUAGGUGCCAUUUCUCAAAAACAAAAAAAGAUGUUGUAGGUGCCUAAAAAAAAAAGCUCCUGUAGGUACCCCUCAAAAAAGAAAUUUGUUGUACGCACAAAUUUCUUAACGGUUUCUAUCAUUUUUUUGUUUUUAUUUUUCAUUUUUACUUACAUUUUACCAUUAUAUUUAUCAGUUGGGCAAUAAAUUUGUUUUUUCACACAUCUAAAAAAGGUACCACGAAUCGUAUGCAUCAUGUACACGCAUCCACUCCUGCAUAAAAAACAUACGUCUGCAUCAUGUACAUGCAUGCACGGUCGAUCUCCAAAAAAGCGAAUCGCUAUCCCACGUCAUCAUCGAAGGCAUGCAAUUGAAGUCGGGGGCGACACUUGCAGUUGCAACCAUGUUGGAGACAUGCAGUUGCAUUCGAGGGUGACAUUUGCAGUUGCAUGCCUAGUGUUGGACAUGCAAUUGUCCCCCCCCCUAUCUCGCCCCUCACUUACAAAAUGAAUAGGUCAGUUGCAGUCGGGUGUGUAGACAUGCAGUUGUAGUCAAGGGCGAUACUUGCAGUUGCAAGCCUAGUGUCAGACAUGCAAUUUCCUCCUCCCCCCUCUCCCGCUGACUAGCGAGAAAAAAAAGAUUGGUUGCGGUUGGAUGUGUGAACAUGCAGUUGAAGUCGAGGAUGACACUUCAGUUGGAAGCCUAUUGUCGGACAUGCAAUUGCCCCCGCCUCUCCCGCCGCCCUUUGACAAAAAGACAAGGCCAAUUGCAGUCUGAAGGGAGACAUGCAGUUACAGUCGGGGCGACACUUGCAGUUGCAUGUCUAGUAUCGGACAUGCAACUCCUCCUCUCCAACCGUCGGCUUACAAAAACAAAUGUCAGUUGCAGCAGGGGUGUGUGGGCAUGCAGUUGCAGUCGGGGGCGACACUUGCAGUUGCAGGCCUAGUGUUAGCCCCUCGCAUGCCCCCCACCCCCACCCCGUCCAACAAAAUAAUAUCCAGUUGCAACCAUGUUGGAAGACAUGCAGUUGUAGUCGAGGGCGACACUUGCAGCUGCAAGCCUAGAGUCGGACACGCAACCGCCCCCUCUCCUGCCUCUCACUUAUAAAACAAAAGGUCAGUUGCAUUCGGGUGUGUGGGCAUGCAAUUGUAGUCGAGGGCAACACUUGCAUUUGCAAGCCUAGUGUGUCGGACAUGCAACUACCUACCCCCUCUUUCGACACCCACCUACAAAACAAAAGGUCGGUUGCGGUUGGGUGUGUAGACAUGCAGUUGCAGUCGAGGGUGAUACUUGCAAUUGCAAGCCUAGUGUCGGACAUGCAACUACCCACCCCCUCUUUCGAGGCCCACCUACAAAACAAAAGGUCAGUUGCGGUUGGGUGUGUGGACAUGCAGUUGCAGUCAAGGGCGAUACUUGCAGUUGCAAGCCUAGUGUUGGACAUGCAAAUGCCCCCUCCUUCUCUCGCCGCCCUCCGACAAAAACACAAGGCUAGUUGCAUUUGGGAGGCAGACAUGCAAUUGCAAACAGGGGCGACACUUGCAGUUGCAAGGCCUAAUGUUGGACAUGCAACCACCCCCUCUCCCACGGCUGAUUUACAAAACAAAGGCCGGUUGCAGUCGGGUGUGGGCAUGCAGUUGCGUGCCUAGUGGCAAACAUGCAACUGCCUCCCUCCACAAAACACCAUAGAAUUGCGGGCAGGUGUGACACUUGCAAUUGCAUGACUAGUGAAAAACAUGCAACUUCCCCCUUCCCGAUAAAACACUACUGAGUUGCAAUAUCAGUCGGGGACGACACUACACUUGCAUGCCUAUUGGCAGACAUGCAACUACCCCCCCUCCCCUGACAAACACACCACUGAGUUGCAAUCGCGUUGAAGACAUGUAGUUGUAGUUGGGGACCGCACUUGGAGUUGUGUGCCUAGUGGCAGACAUGCAACUAUCCCCUCUCCCGACAAAAAAAGAAAAAAAAAUCAUAUACGCAAAGGUCAGUCCUUCACCAAUUGCAUGUGGAGUGAGACGUGUGUAGUUGUGCAAGGAUAAACGAACAUGCUACAUACAAUCAAUUUUUCCUUCGAGGCUAAAAAUAAAGAAUAAAUAAAAACAUAGUUACACACGAAUACAAUGUGUGUUGAUGACAAAAAUAAACGUGAACAAUUAAUAAUUAAUAAAAUUCAAAAAAAUAAAAAUGAAAAAAAAAACACAAACAUACUUCAAAGAAGAAAUUAUGAGAGAAAAAAGAACAAGAAAAAAUGAGAAGAAUGGAAAUAAUUGAUAAUUUUAAAAGAACAAACAAAAAAAUCAAAAGGAAAACUAUCCUAGAAAUCCAAAAUGAAUUGGCACAAGCCAUUUUGAAAAAAUAAUACAGAAUGUUGCGACCGGAAAAAGGAAAUGCAACACAAAUUUGCACGAAUUGGCGCAUAGAUUAAACGAUUUAUCGCAUUACAAAAUCUUAUACGAGCAAAGUUUGACCCACAACAUGGAGAAAAAUAAAAAAAAUGCAUGGAGGAAAAUAGAAGUGUGCAUUGAUUAUGACAUGCUAGAAGAUAUAGGGAAACAUUGGACACACAUGCUGAUCUAGUAAAAAAACACAACGCUUUGCUCUCUGCACUUUGCACAGUCUAUUUUCAAUCGUAGCCCAACAGAAAAAAACAAAAAGAAACAUGCCGGCCGUGUCAUCCUAACAAGCUGAUUUAAACGUGACAAGCAGCUAGCAUAAAAGAAAAAUCAAGGCAUCGACUGAGACUUCAAUAGAAAUCAGUCGACUGAUUUUUAGUCGUUCCGAAGAGAAAAA